GACUUGAGGCCAGUGAAGGGGGCGACCAUGUUGACCUGAGCCGGGGAGGAUCAGUUGACAGUGGCAAUGGUUGCCAAUGAGAUCAUUGAGGAAGCCAUUGCAGAUACUGCUUACUAGUAGUAUAUUAUGGAGCAAACAAAAAGAGAGUGAGAGAUGGAGAUGGGACUGAGUUGU